GCCCGCCUAGCUCAAUCGGCCAGAGCGUCAGACUUUUAAGUGAAUGUAUAUUCGACAAACUUAAAUCUGAAGGCUGCGAGUUCGACCCUCGCGGUGGGCU
rfam:Termitomyces sp. J132 unplaced genomic scaffold scaffold166, whole genome shotgun sequence.